ACGGUAACAGGUUAAGCUGACGAGUGGCGAACGGGUGAGUAAUGCAUCGGAACGUGCCCGAUCGUGGGGGAUAACGCAGCGAAAGCUGCGCUAAUACCGCACACGAUCUGAGGAUGAAAGCGGGGGACCGUAAGGCCUCGCGCGAUCGGAGCGGCCGAUGUCAGAUUAGGUAGUUGGUGGGGUAAAGGCCUACCAAGCCGACGAUCUGUAGCUGGUCUGAGAGGACGACCAGCCACACUGGGACUGAGACACGGCCCAGACUCCUACGGGAGGCAGCAGUGGGGAAUUUUGGACAAUGGGCGCAAGCCUGAUCCAGCAAUGCCGCGUGCAGGAUGAAGGCCCUCGGGUUGUAAACUGCUUUUGUACGGAACGAAAAGCCUGGGGCUAAUAUCCCCGGGUCAUGACGGUACCGUAAGAAUAAGCACCGGCUAACUACGUGCCAGCAGCCGCGGUAAUACGUAGGGUGCGAGCGUUAAUCGGAACUACUGGGCGUAAAGCGUGCGCAGGCGGUUUUGUAAGACAGGCGUGAAAUCCCCGGGCUCAACCUGGGAAUGGCGCUUGUGACUGCAAGGCUGGAGUGCGGCAGANGGGGAUGGAAUUCCGCGUGUAGCAGUGAAAUGCGCAGAUAUGCGGAGGAACACCGAUGGCGAAGGCAAUCCCCUGGGCCUGCACUGACGCUCAUGCACGAAAGCGUGGGGAGCAAACAGGAUUANAUACCCUGGUAGUCCACGCCCUAAACGAUGUCAACUGGGUUGUUGGGUAUUUACUUACUCAGUAACGAAGCUAACGCGUGAAGUUGACCGCCUGGGGAGUACGGCCGCAAGGUUGAACUCAAAGGAAUUGACGGGGACCCGCACAAGCGGNGGNNGAUGUGGUUUAAUUCGAUGCNACGCGAAAA
rnacentral:rRNA from 1 species